GGCUCCGAGAUAACGCUUUAGAAUGCAAUUCUAAAGCCGCAGUUUUCCAGCCGGGGCUU
rnacentral:tRNA from 1 species